rnacentral:rRNA from 2 species
AUACCGGCAGUUCGAGUGAUGGCCGCUCUUAUUGGGCCUAAAGCGUUCGUAGCUGGCCGAGCAAGUCUGUCGGGAAAUCCAGUGGCUUAACCACUGGACGUCCGGCGGAAACUGCUCGGCUUGGGACCGGGAGACUCGAGGAGUACGUCCGGGGUAGGAGUGAAAUCCUGUAAUCCUGGAGGGACUACCGAUGGCGAAAGAACCUCGAGAGCACGGAUCCGACAGUGAGGAACGAAAGCUGGGGUCUCGAACCGGAUUAGAUACCCGGGUAGUCCCAGCCGUAAACGAUGCUCGCCAGGUAUGGCACAGGCUACGAGCCUGUGUUAUGCCGCAGCGAAGGCGCUAAGCGAGCCGCCUGGGAAGUACGUCCGCAAGGAUGAA